CAAGCCUGAUCCAGCCAUGCCGCGUGUGUGAAGAAGGCCUUAUGGUUGUAAAGCACUUUAAGCGAGGAGGAGGCUACUUUAGUUAAUACCUAGAGAUAGUGGACGUUACUCGCAGAAUAAGCACCGGCUAACUCUGUGCCAGCAGCCGCGGUAAUACAGAGGGUGCAAGCGUUAAUCGGAUUUACUGGGCGUAAAGCGCGCGUAGGCGGCUAAUUAAGUCAAAUGUGAAAUCCCCGAGCUUAACUUGGGAAUUGCAUUCGAUACUGGUUAGCUAGAGUGUGGGAGAGGAUGGUAGAAUUCCAGGUGUAGCGGUGAAAUGCGUAGAGAUCUGGAGGAAUACCGAUGGCGAAGGCAGCCAUCUGGCCUAACACUGACGCUGAGGUGCGAAAGCAUGGGGAGCAAACAGGAUUAGAUACCCUGGUAGUCCAUGCCGUAAACGAUGUCUACUAGCCGUUGGGGCCUUUGAGGCUUUAGUGGCGCAGCUAACGCGAUAAGUAGACCGCCUGGGGAGUACGGUCGCAAGACUAAAACUCAAAUGAAUUGACGGGGGCCCGCACAAGCGGUGGAGCAUGUGGUUUAAUUCGAUGCAACGCGAAGAACCUUACCUGGCCUUGACAUAGUAAGAACUUUCCAGAGAUGGAUUGGUGCCUUCGGGAACUUACAUACAGGUGCUGCAUGGCUGUCGUCAGCUCGUGUCGUGAGAUGUUGGGUUAAGUCCCGCAACGAGCGCAACCCUUUUCCUUAUUUGCCAGCGAGUAAUGUCGGGAACUUUAAGGAUACUGCCAGUGACAAACUGGAGGAAGGCGGGGACGACGUCAAGUCAUCAUGGCCCUUACGGCCAGGGCUACACACGUGCUACAAUGGUCGGUACAAAGGGUUGCUACCUAGCGAUAGGAUGCUAAUCUCAAAAAGCCGAUCGUAGUCCGGAUUGGAGCUGCAACUCGACUCCAUGAAGUCGGAAUCGCUAGUAAUCGCGGAUCAGAAUGCCGCGGUGAAUACGUUCCCGGGCCUUGUACACACCGCCCGUCACACCAUGGGAGUUUGUUGCACCAGAAGUAGCUAGCCUAACUGCAAAGAGGGCGGUACCAC
rnacentral:rRNA from 1 species